AUUGAACGCUGGCGGCAUGCUUUACACAUGCAAGUCGAACGGUAACAGGCCUUCGGGUGCUGACGAGUGGCGAACGGGUGAGUAAUGCAUCGGAACGUGCCCAGAGGUGGAGGAUAACGCAGCGAAAGCUGUGCUAAUACCGCAUGUGAUCUGAGGAUGAAAGCGGGGGACCAAGCAGCAAUGUUUGGCCUCGCGCCUCUGGAGCGGCCGAUGUCAGAUUAGGUAGUUGGUGGGGUAAAGGCCUACCAAGCCGACGAUCUGUAGCUGGUCUGAGAGGACGACCAGCCACACUGGGACUGAGACACGGCCCAGACUCCUACGGGAGGCAGCAGUGGGGAAUUUUGGACAAUGGGCGCAAGCCUGAUCCAGCAAUGCCGCGUGCGGGAAGAAGGCCUUCGGGUUGUAAACCGCUUUUGUACGGAACGAAAAGGCUCUGGCUAAUACCUGGGGCUGAUGACGGUACCGUAAGAAUAAGCACCGGCUAACUACGUG
rnacentral:rRNA from 1 species